rnacentral:rRNA from 1 species
UUAUAAUUAAAAUUAAUUAAUAAGAAAUUAAAUGAAAUCAUUAAAUUUAAAAAAUUUGGCGGUAUUUUAAAUAAUUAGAGGAAUUUGUUGAGUAAAUGAUGAUCCACGAAUGGAAUAUCCUAAUAAAUUUUUAUGUAUUGUUGUAUAAAAAUUAUUUUAUAAGAAUAAUAAUUAAAAAAUUUAAUUUAAUUUAAAUUCAAAUCAAAAUGUAGAAUUGUUAGGUUUAAAUGAAUUACAGUUUAAUUUAAUAUUGGAGUUAUUUUUUUAAUUAAAAUAAUGAAAUAGGAUUUAAGAGUAAAUUNAAAUAAAUUUUAAAUGAAGAAAUAAAUUAAAAUAUG